rnacentral:rRNA from 1 species
CAGCCAGACUGGAACUGAGACACGGUCCAGACUCCUACGGGAGGCAGCAGUGAGGAAUCUUCCACAAUGGGCGAAAGCCUGAUGGAGCGACACCGCGUGAAGGAAGAAGGCCUAACGGUUGUAAACUUCUUUUCUGAAGGAGCAUAAUGAGAGUACUUUAGGAAUAAGGGACGGCUAAAUACGUGCCAGCAGCCGCGGUAAUACGUAUGUCUCGAGCGUUACCCGGAAUUACUGGGUGUAAAGGGUUUGUAGGUUGGUGAAUAAGUCAGGUAUGAAAGACCGGAGCUUAACUCCGAGUUUGUGCUUGAAACUGUUGACCUAGAAUCAGGGAGAGGUAAGCGGAAUUCUAAGUGUAGGGGUGCAAUCCGUAGAUACUUAGAGGAACACCAAAAGCGAAGGCAGCUUACUGGAACUGCAUUGACACUGAAAAACGAAAGCGUGGGUAGCGAAAAGGAUUAGAUACCCUUGUAGUCCACGCCCUAAACGAUGAUAACUAAGUGUUGCGACGAGCUCGCAGUGCUGUAGCAAACGCGUUAAGUUAUCCACCUGAGGAGUACGGUCGCAAGAUUAAAACUCAAAGGAAUAGACGGGGACCCACACAAGCAGUGGAUCACGUGGUUUAAUUCGACAAUAAACGGGGAACCUUACCCAGACUUGACAUCCUAGGAAUACUUUAGAGAUAGAGUAGUGCUCGCAAGAGAACCUAGAGACAGGUGCUGCAUGGUUGUCGUCAGCUCGUGCCUUGAGGUGUUCGGUUAAGUCCGUUAACGAGCGCAACCCAUGUCCUUAGUUACAAUGUCUAAGGAGACUGCCUUGGUUAACAAGGAGGAAGGUGUGGAUGACGUCAAAUCAGCAUGGCUUUUACGUCUGGGGCUACACACAUGAUACAAUGGCCUGUACAAAGAGUAGUGAAACCGCGAGGUAGAACCAAUCUUGAAAGCAGGUCUCAGUCCGGAUUGGAGUCUGCAACUCGACUCCAUGAAGUUGGAAUUGCUAGUAAUCGUAAAUCAGAUAUGUUACGGUGAAUGUGUUCCUGGGUCUUGUACUCACCGCCCGUCAAGGCAUGGGAGGUAGUAAUAUCGGAAGUCCCCCUAGAUAUAAGGGGGCCCAUGGUAGGACUACUGACUGGGCUUAAGUCGUAACAAGGUAUCCGUAGGUGAACCUGCGGAUG